AAGUGGAGCAAUCCAUGAGUAAAGUGGCGACCGGGUGAGUAACACGUGACUAACCUACCCUUGAGUGGGGGAUAACCUAGGGAAACCUGGGCUAAUACCGCAUAACAUCUUUGGAUCGGAAGAACUGGAGAUCAAAGGAGCAAUUCGCUUAAGGAGGGGGUCGCGGCUGAUUAGCUAGUUGGCGGGGUAAUGGCCCACCAAGGCUUUGAUCGGUAGCCGGCCUGAGAGGGCGCACGGCCACACUGGAACUGAAACACGGUCCAGACUCCUACGGGAGGCAGCAGUGGGGAAUUUUGCGCAAUGGGGGAAACCCUGACGCAGCAACGCCGCGUGGAGGAUGAAGUCCCUUGGG
rnacentral:rRNA from 1 species